GAUGAACGCUGGCGGCGUGCCUAAUACAUGCAAGUCGAGCGAAUGGAUUAAGAGCUUGCUCUUAUGAAGUUAGCGGCGGACGGGUGAGUAACACGUGGGUAACCUGCCCAUAAGACUGGGAUAACUCCGGGAAACCGGGGCUAAUACCGGAUAACAUUUUGAACCGCAUGGUUCGAAAUUGAAAGGCGGCUUCGGCUGUCACUUAUGGAUGGACCCGCGUCGCAUUAGCUAGUUGGUGAGGUAACGGCUAACCAAGGCAACGAUGCAUAGCCGACCUGAGAGGGUGAUCGGCCACACUGGGACUGAGACACGGCUCAGACUCCUACGGGAGGCAGCAGUAGGGAAUCUUCCGCAAUGGACGAAAGUCUGACGGAGCAACGCCGCGUGAGUGAUGAAGGCUUUCGGGUCGUAAAACUCUGUUGUUAGGAAAGAACAAGUGCUAGGUGAAUAAGCUGGCACCUUGACGGUACCUAACCAGAAAGCCACGGCUAACUACGUGCCAGCCGCCGCAGUAA
rnacentral:rRNA from 1 species